rnacentral:rRNA from 1 species
CGUACGACGACUGGCGCACGGGUGAGUAACGCGUAUCCAACCUUCCCAUGACCACGGGAUAACCCGUUGAAAGACGGACUAAUACCGUAUGACGUCGUUUGCUGACAUCAAAUAACGAUUAAAGGUUUAGCGGUGAUGGACGGGGAUGCGUCUGAUUAGCUUGUUGGCGGGGUAACGGCCCACCAAGGCAACGAUCAGCAGGGGUUCUGAGAGGAAGGUCCCCCACAUUGGAACUGAGACACGGUCCAA